GGUGGACGUAGCCUCACGGUGCAGCAGGUGAAACAGUGCGUGUUUGUAGUUUCAUGUUUGUAGUCUACAACACUGAGAAGUUUGUGAACCACAGUAGACUGUCAGCAGGGAUUAGGACGCCCAGGAAAAAGAAGUGCAUGAAUAUGAUGUGAAGUGCAUGUUGAGUCACAGUCUUAGUUUUCCUCCUAGUAUGGACUUUAUCUAACUAUCCAGCACCACUUGUGUGACCUGCUUGGCUGCAUAGCUUUGACUGUAAGUAUUUGGCUUCUUCUUUAUACGAAUGUGUUGUGUAUACUCAUCUUAAAGGAAUAUUCUGGGGUAAAAUUACAUUAGGGUCAAAAACACCAUAACACCAAGUUAGACACCCCCUUGAGAGAUGAAUGUUGCCGACCACUUGCUUCUCUAGUUAUACCAACUUUAGAAACGACUGCUGGAUAGCAAUGCACAGCGGUCUGAGGAGCCAUAAACAAACCUCAACCAAAAAGCCACUCUAUAGUCACAAAUAAUGCUCAGAACAGCACCUAACUUUAAAACCUAACACCAGAAAGCCUUUACUUUUAGAAAGUAACUGUGUGUCAUUUUGAGACUUGUGAAUUAGGCUACUCCUAAAGUUUUGGUGAACUUUUUCAGUUUUGGAUGUUUGAAUUUUCUCCAAUAGGCUGCAACUUGAGUCAAAAGAGAAAAUGUUUAAACAAAAACAACACAGUUAAAUGCGCAGUAAACAGGAGAUUUAAAUUGGCUGUGGAAGUACAGAAAUACAAUCUGGUGCCUUUGUAAGACCUCCAAGAAGUAAGCUACCAAUGCUUGGAAAGUUUUCUACCUCUCUGAUAACUUUGAUGCCUGGAGGAGCUGCCACAGAGUGGCAUGGUUAGAAUGAUAAACAGCAUGAGAAAGGCAAAAAGCCUUUGUUUAGGUUUUUGACAGAAACUUUGCUUGUAGAAAGGGUGGUUCAAUAUCAAUCAAUCAAUCAAUUAAUCUUCAUGUAAAAUAUAAUAGUAUAAUUUUUGAUAGAAUUAUAAUCUGUAAUCUGAAAUGUGCCACGAGUAUGUUUAAAAAAAAACUGAACUUUUGCAUUGGAUUUCAGACUGUAUGACUGUGUUCUUGCAGAGCUAACAGGCUGAAGAUUUUUCCCACAAUUCAGUUGCCCAUUUGAUUGUCUGGUGCGAUCCUGUGAUGGAAAAGUAGUGGAAAACACCUCACAGCUACUUAUGGAGGCUAUCCCAGUAAAGUUAUACUGUAAAACAUUUUAUGAACAUAAUUUUCCAAUUUAUCAGUUUGAAAUUAGAUACAGUCAGAUUAGUUAGUUAAUGAGUCAAAUUGGCCAUGGGUGGAAUCUGUGAUUUUAUAUAUCCAUACAGAAAUAUGCGUCCAUACAUUGGAGACAAGAGGCGUCUUCCAUUUAUUGGAUGUACAUAAAUGGAAAUGAGGUAUCAGGGUUUGCACUAAACCUGCAGUUUGAAAUGGGCUCUAGAUCUGCACUAUAUAGUAUUACUAUUUACAUAAAUCUAUCAUGAGCAACACUGGCAACUUACAGCGAUAAGGAUAACUCAUAUUGAACAGGCAGAAACCUCGAACAAAACCAGACUUGAGUUAAACAGCCUUCUGCUGGGACUAUAUUUGAUAAAGAUCGAGGUAGAGACGGACGGUCAAUAAAACACACACUAACAAAUGCAUGAAGUCAAUUCACAGCAUUUAUCACUGAUACAGAUUAGACAUGAAUCUCCAGUGGAAUGAAAAUGUUCUUUUGGAUACACUCAGUGAAGCAGCUCCAUCCCUCUCCCAAACUCCUCCAUCUACUCCUUUCAUCUCAUUACUCUAUUUCCCUCCUCUUCUGUCUUUCCUGUCCACCCCUCAUGGACCUCCUCCCCCCUUGCAGUCAUGACUAUAUCUGCUUUUCAAACCCCUAUACAUCUCUUUCAGCUUUUGUCUGUAAAUCCUUAUUGCAUUAUUCCCUGCUCUCCCUUCUUCUGUUCUGACUCUGUCUCUCGGCCAUCUCAUAUCCCUGUCUCUCCCUGUUUGGAUUCUGCAGCAUAAGGCAUGAAACUCUCCUCUGCCCCCUUCAUUCCUCUCCUCCCUCUUCAAGCCUUCCCUUUCCCUGGCUGUCCAAUCUCAAAUCCCUCUUGCCGCCUGCCUUUCGUCUCUCUCCCUCUCUCUCUCCCUGUCCUCUUUCCCCAGCCAGAGGUUAAUACACUCCAGGAUGGCAUUAUUUCCUCCCCGGCCCUCUGACAAUAUAAAAAUUCAGAAUGGACAGCUCAAUCCCUCUUCCAUCUCAGAUUUGAUUGUAAUGGUAUUGCCUCCUGUCCCUGGGAGGCCCCUGCCGCCUCGCCACCUCGGCCUUUAUGACACUAAAUGGCCAGGCUACAAUUUUUCCAUCUAUUCAAAAAAUUCUGUUAAUAACUCAUUUGGAAUGAGACGUCUGCGGCCAGGUCUCUCACCCCUCUGCUUAUAGGGGUCACAAUAUACAGAGAAAGAUGCAGGGCUGAAUCGCAAAUGUAAAAGGCUAAUUAAUCUCCCUGAAUUUACAAUCCCUUUUCCCCCCAUUCCCUUUGCACUCCAAUUGACAGUCCCAAAGAGACAAAAAUGUCAUAUUUACAACCUGGCAUGGAGAAAGUGCUCAGCAAUGCACAGCAGUGUGAGCGCGAGCCGGUCUGACCACUUUCUCUGCUCCACCGUCCAACUUUACAAGUGUACCCAUUCAUCACGGCUGAUGGAUUUAUGUAAUAAAACCCAUUUCCUUCUCCCAUACGAUCCUAUUAAAUAAUAAAAUAAUUAUUUAUUGAUUAUUCAAAAAGGUACAUAUGCGCGGGUAAUGGCUUUGUAUCACACCACUGGACCCGCAAUAAAUAAAGAAGGCAGAGGGAAGGCUGGAGCGCGACAGAGAGGAAUAAAGCAGGGAGAGGGAGAGGGUGGGAGAGAGAAGAGGGGAGAAAUGAAGGGGAAUGAAAUGACUUUUGAACCAGUGAAAUCUGGAUCCAAUAUGGCCUCUUGCAGAGCGGAUCAGGAAGGACAUUAUUCAAUCUUCAGGAGGCUCAUAUGGGAGCGCGACCUAUGAAUGGUUUUGAUAUACUAUAUGGACCGUAGAAAUUAAAAUAGACAACUGAAUGAGUGCUUAAGUGGAGCUUUUAGUCUAAUCUUUUCAAAUGUGCUGAGCUAGAAAUAGACAACAAUAUCUAUUUUUGACAGAGUAGUUUUUAUGUCUGUUAGAUAGGGUCAAAAUCUGCUGUUGAGUUUGGAGAGUCAGCCAAGAAAAUACCUCUUAAACAUUAUCGCAUAAUAUGACUUAUUAAAAGAUUUUUGCCCGCUAUUCCCUCCUUACUUUACCCCACUCAGGAAAGACCAUUAAUACUGAAUUUAAACAUUUACAGAGAUUGAAAGUGUUUGUGUUGGAGCUUUUUGUAGAGCAAGGCUUUUGGGUGUUUAGCAAACUGACCAGGAAGGUAAAAGUGAUCGCUGUUUUUCUUUUUAACUGUUUUUCUAAAAGACACAGCUCCACACAUAUGUAAACACCCACUCCCUUUUAGUAAUCCUUCAUAUUAUUUAUUCAACUUCAGUAUCGGAAGACGCCCCCUAUCCCCAGCAGUGAAUCAUUAUAAAAGAAGACACUUUAAUGUCAGCCAGAUAUUACAUUGGGGGCUUCUUAAUAAGCCAUUUGUGUUUGGACUAUCCUGGGCUAAAGUGCACCCGCUCUCCGUUGUCUUUUUCCUGGGCUUGUCUCAAGCCUCCUGCAUGCUACGAAAAACAGAUGCUAUCUCAGCUAUAUUACUUCUCAAAGCGCUCAUAUCCUCUCCCAUGUUAUUUUCUUUGAUCUGCUAGGCUCUCUGCUCUUACAUUUUUCUUUCCCCCCUCGUCUCACGCCCUCCUCCUCCUCCUCCACCUCCACCCCAAUCCCUCCACCCCCAUCCUCCAUGCUUCAUCCUCUAUCCUCUUUGCCAGUGACCAGAGACACAGCAGCCAGACUGGCUUGGGUUGGCUGUGGACGUUUGAAAUUCACUUCAUCUGUUCCCUGUCAUCAGAGGGCACAGGGUGCACGGUGGGUUGGACUUUUUAGAUUCUCCAUUUAAUAUGCCUUGACCAUCAGAGGAGGCUUCAGAGGAGGGCUCAUAUCAGGGCCGGGGUCAUUUCACAUCCAGUGAACAGGCCGUUUAAAUCAGCGACUUAAGCUGCAGCCUUCAUACUAAACACUUUUUUACUUAUUGACAGCAGUUCUUGCAUAAGCUCUUAAUUAUAAGUGAGUCAAUCCUGGGCUAUGUGCUUUAUUUAAACAAUGAAAAAAGUUUAUUUACAUCAGUUAAUCAAAUUAAAGCAUUUGUUUUUAGAACUCUGGUGGUUUCAGGAGUUUUUGUGAAAUACUAGGGCUUUUAAUUGUUUUUUUUUUUCACAUUUCUGAUUAAUUACAGAACUAAAGUAGUUUAUGUCGAUUAUUUGCAUUUUUAAAACUGCAUUGUCAUGCGUUUAAAUAGAGUUUCUAAACUGCACACCAUUUAAAAAUAAAGUUUUUAAUCUGACACAUGCAAUAGGAUGUAUUUAGUGAUUUUGACUUACAGAUUUAAUAUUUAAAAAUGUAAAAUUAGUGUUAAUGUGAUUUGCAGUUUAACUCUGUUAAUAAUAAUAUAACUGUCAUUACUCUGAGUAUUAAUUAUAGCAUUUGCACUCUUUUUGGAGUGUAACUGUAUUUACUCUCUUUGUUUCUUUUAUCCCCAUGUCUGUGGUGACUCACGCUCUCAUAUAAAAUGCUCUUUUGUGAUAUCAGUUAGCAUGGUUGCACCUGUAUGCUUAGCUCCUAUUGGCAGGGGGCUCAGACUGGGAGCUUUAAGUCAAUUGUUGUGAUAGUUAAAUUCCAUAUAACUCAAAGGACUUCAGACUCUACUGAGCUGGUUCUUUUAAGUGAAAUGGGUCAUUCAAAAGCACAGUGGUGUUGUGCAGCAGAAAGAUGUUUUGGUGGCCGAAUAAAGUGAAUAAAAAUAUCAACAUACUAAGUAAUUGCAUCAUGAUCAACUAGUAUGUUAAUGCUGACAGCCCUAAAGAUAUAAAAAUCUAAUGGCUCCAUAGAGUUAGUUAGCUUAAGUCAAAUGAUGGUCAAUUACAUUUUUAAAACUGUUUUCUUGUUUGUUUGAAAUUCUAAAGUAAUAAACAAUCAGAAACACAACACAGCAGCCUUUUAAUGCCUUUACCCUCAAUCACCCCAUCUCCCUCUAUGCUUAUCUGUAAGGUUAAAAAAAGUAUUUAACUCAGAAGUGUCUCUGACUGCAUGAGAACUCAGUUUAUUGAAUCAUUUUUAAGAAAGUUCAGAUAAUGGAGCUUAAAGUUGAUUAAAUGUGCAUCACAGCUUUCCCUUUCUAUCAAACUUUAACAAGUAAAUACUUUUUUCCUGCAAGUUUACAGUGCAAGGCAUGAAACUCAAAUUGUCUGUCUGCUCUUUCCUUUUUUUGUGGCAGCAUAAUGGAAACAUGUCUUAACAUUUUUCAGACAUGAACAACAAAUACUGUACCCUAAGUGAUGAAUCAUAGUUUAAUAUAUGCCUCAUAACUGUCAAAAAGCCUGGCAUCAUAAAAGAAAGACACACUUGUAUUUUUUUGUGAUAGAUUACAAGUGUUCAGAUUUUUGCAGACACUGAGCAUGAGCAAAAACUGAACAAAGUUUCAUAAGAAAGACAUUUCUUGUAUGUGGAAAAAUCUAAUUUUGCAGUUUUUACUGCAUAUUUGACACACCACAGUCUUGGCCUGUAUUUGGUUCACUUUCCAUUAGAGUUAGAAGUGUCAUAGAGUACAUUAGUACAUAUAUGUCAAAAUAGGAAUCACUGCAGUGUCAAAAACAGUUCAAACUCUGCAGUGAAAUUGACUCUUUCCUCGAGGUUGUAAAGCUUUUGCAGAUUAAUUCCCAAACUCUCUCAGUUGUGUUAAACUGAUUUUCCUGCACAAAGCCAUUUAAAGCAACAUCUGUGUGGAUAGGUGGCACUUAGAAACCGGGGAGUCUUUAGCUUUCUUAUGAGCAGCCAGGAGGGGGAAGCAUCCCUCUUUGCAAGUGUGCUCACAAGAGAAGGAAAGAAAAGUAAUUAAACAAACAAUUUACAAGGAAUCGUGUGUCUGCGUAUCCAAUCCAGCGUACUCGCUUUUGCUCUAAUACAUAAAGACAGAAAUGAAAAAAAAAAAGAUUGUUUGUUGUCUCCUCAGAGUGAUGGUAAAUGACACGUGUGUUUCAUUGCCCAUUCAUUUAACCUUCAGUGUGCCUAUGAAGAGAAAGGGAUUGAGAAACAAAUUAUGUGGUGUCAUUUAAUUAGGAGUUUUGCUGUGAGCAAUAAUCCUGUAAUUUUUUUUCCUUAUAACCUUUAACUACUUAAUGGAUUUGAGAAGCUAUUACCUUUCAAGAUUUCUGUUUUUAAUUAUUUGGAGUAUUGUUAGAGAUAUGAAAUGUCAAUCAUUCACCAGGAUUAAUGCUGAGGUUUAAUAUUAUUUACUUCGGGAUUGAAGCGAGAGGUUGACAGGAUUAGGGAAAUCACUAAUUUUAAGUAUUUUACAAACAAAAAGAAAAAAAAAUCCUCUUUUUGGCUUAUUUAGCUGAAAAUCAUUUAUCCUUAUGUGCACAUUUAUAUUUAACACAACCUCAUCUUAAAUCCAUGAGAGCCAGUUAUUUACAUAGAUAUUAACAUUAAAUUUAUAUUUAUGGCAAGACACAGUAAAUCUCAGAGUAAUAUUGGAAAAAUGGCUUCCUGAAUCUGUGAUUAAAUUAUAAUAAUGACUCAUUUUUAAUAUGUACAAACUCAAUUUAUAGUUUCCUCCUUUGGCGCUUAUACUGUAGGUGUGCAGCAUAAAAAAAAUAUAUAACCCGGGAGCUGUUCAUGUGUGUGUGUGUGUGUUGCACAGUCGAGGGCUUACCUCUCACCCUGAUCACGUUUAGGCAACUCUGUGAAAGUGGCAGACAGAGUUUGUUUGGUUUCCCCUGGAGGACAUCGCAGCUCUCUGCCAGCAGACCAACCCACGUGCGGUGACAUCAGGCCCGCCUGUGUGGAUACAAAUGUCUCCUUAAAUACAUGAUCCAUGUGAGGUGCGCUUGAUUUAUUUUGCCAGACACUCACAGGACCAUGAGGGCCAUGCGUGCUCAUUUUAAAUCAGUGCUUCUCACACAGGACCCUCCUGCGUACCUGGGUUCAAAUGAUAUAUUUCAUAUUCUGAAGUGGAUCAAAAAACAUUCAUCAGAAACACCUGAUGUAGCUUGUCUAGAGGGGGAUAGUUUCACCAGAGGAUCAGCAAAUGUCUUGGAGGAUAAAUGAAGCACACCCUGAGCAGUUCAAAUAUUCAAAACCUUAUUCAAAUAGAUGUUUUCACCCGGGUUUGACACGGCUCUUAGGCUGGCACAUUGGCUCCUCAGACCCCCCAUGGCACGGGGCAUGUAAUCAUCCUGAAAGUCUCUUUGGGUGUCUGCACCCUCAUAAAGCAGGAAAAUGGAUCGUGUGGCCCAGGAAGGGAAAAUGAAAGAAAAGGAGAAUGAAAUUACAGACCUGGCUGACUGCACAAAUCAUGCAUAUCAUGUUUUAUGGCUUGCCAGAAGAAUUCAACACCUGUGGAUCACCGUAGCUAUAAUUGUACACGAGUACACCGGGCUGGGAGUGGGGGCAGAGUUUGUGGUUUGUGUGUCACUGAAUAUGUGAGUGAGAGUGUGUGAGCCUCGUAGGUGUCUGUGGAUAUGCGAGUAUGUUUUUCUUGGCAUGGCCGAGCUUUAGAAACAGAGGGGAGAUGAUAAAAGAAAGUUACGGGAACGCCUGUUGUUCACUUCUCCGGUACAUCCUGGGUGAGCCACCCGCAGCCCACAGGGCGCGCUCGCAGAGGCUUCAUUUACCAUUGUAAUUACCCUGUUUAUUUACCCUACCUGCUUUUGGUGGUAAAACGGGGGCCAAUUCAUCAGAUUAGGACAAUUUGGCCUUGCUUUGGCUUUGCCAUUUACUUUAAUUAAAUGAGGCAAUCAGUGAAACAUAAAUCAAGAUCUGUGUGACCACUGGCUUUGUUUGAACCUGGACCUCUUUUACAAAGCUGACACACCCUCUGUUCAAACUUACAUUAGAUACAGCUGCUCUGCAGCUCCUCAGUAUGCAGAUUUACCUUUAAAAAAAGUGCAUUUGGGAUUUUUUUCAUGCAAACAUACUUUUUUAAAAAUCCUGUGCAUGUAUCGUUGAACUUAUUUCAGCUGUAAGUAUUUUUUUGACGCUUUAAAGGUAAAGUCACGUGCAUGAACGAAGGCUAAAAACUAAACGGGAUGACAGCACAGCAGAUCAAAAACUCUCCCCUCCCUCCUCUUCUCUCCUUUUUCUCCCUCCUCUCCACUGUGGAUGCUGAUGCUUGAGUCAAAUUGAUUACACCACUCCAUCUGCAUCACGACCGGCCUCCUCCUGUGUUUGCCGCCUCUGCCUACAGCACAGAGUUAGUGUACAAUUACAUAUAGUUUAAUAUAUCUGCCUGAGCACCUUUAAAUAAGCAUCACAAGUCCACAAGGUGAUUUGUCUUCCAGCCCCAUUACUCCAUUGUACAUCUUGAUAGCCAGGGAUCGCUCCUAGCUAUGUUUAAGCAUUAAAUAGUGUAUUAUUAUUUCACAUAAAUCACGCUGAGAUGUGAGGGGGGUAUUCAUAAAUUUUGCAUUUCUCACAGACAGUAUUUUAAAGCCUCUCUCCCUCUCUCUCUGCAGCUCUGAAUUUGGAGACUAAAGCAAUUCUGCUCCCUGCGCUUGAUAGUACAUUAAAGAAGGCAUAUCAGGGAGGUAUAUUCAAAACAACAUGUAAUGCAGUUUAGAUUAAGUUUGAGGCGCUCUAACACAUUCAUCAUGCACACUUUCCAUAAUAAGUACCCCUGUCUUUCUCGCUGAUGCAUCCACACACAUGCACCAUUACCACCAAGAGUACUGUAUUGUUAUUGUCAUGAAUAAUGGGGGGAAAUACUAAUAAAAGUCCAUUUAUCACAAUAUUUUCACUGCUAACUACAGCUACUGGAUCUCGUAUCUGUGCUACACGAUGCUCGGGGAAAAUUCAAUUUUAAGGUGAAUGUCUGCCAUCAGUAAGAGUGGCCCUUAACCCCUUACCCCAGCUCCCCACUCCCUCCUGAUAUUAGUCGUGUGUUUGUGCAAAACGUCUACAGAGGAAAUGACUUCACUCAGGAAACUGGAUGUCAGCUUUGCGCACGAGCGGGAGAGCUGACAGUGUUUUAGUCAGGCCGACAACACGUCCUUUUCUCGGCUCGCUCUCCACGCUCAUGGUAAAGCUGUAAAAAGUGACAAAGGAGGAAAUUGAACUUGGAGUUGUUAUGGUUACUCCAAGGACGCUUUGCAGAUUUGUUUCUAUUUCCCGUCUCCGGCUUUGUUUUCUGAUUGGUGGAGAGGUCGUCGGGUAAAACCAGGAGGUCACCGAAACUGUAAAGUGAUGUGUUUAGAGUGGAACUUUUCACUUUCUCCUGUUGCUUUUCAUUCAGACUUUGCCUGAUGUGUUUAUGUAAACUAAUAAGAGUACCUUGUGAUUGUCUGCAGUCGAAAAUAUUACCAAAACAUUACCUUGACCAUCCUGUGUUUCUUCAAGUCGAUGAAAAUCAAACCAAAAAUACAUCACUUCAAACAAUGCAAACGUCUGCUAUGAUUGACUUUAGCGAUUUCAUGCUCACAUUGCAACCGUACACCACAAUUAAACCUAAUUUUCACUUUUAAAACACGCUUAUCAUUUCCUACACAUUAUAAUUAUAUGACCCACUGGCCCGGGGGGGCUUUAGUGUUGCAGCAAAAUCAGUAAAAAAAAUCUUGUAAAAGUCCUCGCAAAUUGGAAAUUGACGAGAUGCCAGGACAGUAAGUUGAGGAUUGAGAGGAGGGGAGCGGAGGAGAAAGAAAAAAAAAUGUCUUUGAACUAGUUUUUGCUUGCAGAAAAAAAUAUCGCUCCUGGGUUGAUAUUCUUUCUGAAGUGUUUCAUGGCGAUGCGAAUUAAGAAGUAAAGUGCAGAGCCAAAUGAUUCAGUGAAUAGACGGCACACACCCACAGGUAUUCUGUUCACAUGACAUCACCCCUGUGUUAAAUUGACAACUUCAUAUUCUUUUAACUUUUUAGGUGCGAGCAAAGAAGAAUUUGAGAGAUAAAUCAACGAUAGAGAGCGGUGUUAUGGAGGACAUUUGUAUUAUGAAUGUGGAUUGAUUAAUAGUUAUUUGGUCGAUUUUUUUUCCCACUCUCUCUCUGUCUCUACCUCUCCCUUUAUUACUCAGAAGAAUGUGUCUUCUGACCUUGACAUGUGCAGGCUGGCUGCAUGUUUCCCUCACCUCAGCUCAUGAACUGGAAACUUUGCUCCUGUCAUCCCUCUAUCUCUUUCUGUCUCUGUCUUGUGAUCACUCUGCCUCCUCAGCUUACACACAGAGCGCACACAGAGCAGCAAUACCUGGGAGGAUAAAUGCUCGGUUAAAUUGAAUAAACAUAAUCCAGACAUGCUCCAUUCCUGCCUGUCUGUCAGGGAGAACUUACUCAGGGGUCCCUGAUUCCAUCAGCCGAGGAGGCGCACAAACAAACGCAAAAGAUUAGAUGUCAGCUGAAAGGCCGGUGUUAGAAAAAGGAUUAUUCACUUCUGUUGUGAUAAAGAAAAUUUUCAUCAAACAUCUGAUAAUCUGUGAUUUUACUGAGCCGGUUUUAUUGCUUCCUUUGUUAUCUUGUGAUGACAGAUAGCUUACGUUCACACAAGUGUUUCAUCUGUUUCUGUUUGCUUCUGCUCCAGAGAAAGGCAAAUACAACACAGUCAGAGCUCAAAAGUGCAAGUACAUCACCCAACUUCAGCCCUGCAUCUUUUUUUUUUUUUUUUUGGCAGCUCUCUGCGUGUUUGGCGAAUGUCUAAAAAAAUUGCAUAAACAUACAAAUUAAAGAGUAACCCCCUCCAUCUUUGUUCAUGCUCCCUGCGUUGCCAUGUCCUCUUAUGUUAAAACAAAGCAUGUGCCUGUCAAUCAUAUAACCAUAGGCGCUCUGGGUGGGGCUGGAUCGCGCUCUUUUGAAGUGAACCUGUCAUGGGAAAUCUGCAUCACUGGGGCUCACUUCAAUCACAAGCACAAGAUUAAUUGUUCGUGGUGCACCACUUCAAACACCUUUAACCAUUACGCAUUACGGGAUGAACCUUUGCAAGGCCUUUCGUCACCUAUAUAUACUCACACCUGCACCCACACACACGUUAAACAAGGAGGGUAAAUUCCUGUCUGUCUAUAAAAACACACACAUGCAGACACAUACAUCCUUAUGCUUCCUAAAACACAAAAAGUUCGCAAAUAUUUACAUACGCAGCUGCACAGAGGUAUAUUUCAAGAUGUAUAAAUUGACAAUUUAAUGUGCAUUGACAAGUUACACCCCCUCUGCCCUCCAAAUACUAACACACACAUAUACACACAAACACACAAGCAUGCAAAGACUCCACACAGACUGCAGCAACACAACAUUAAGCGGUUUUCUCUUCUCUGUUAUCUCCAGCUUCCUUUUUGCCCUUUGGUUAAACAUUCUCUUGGCAUGCAUGAUCUCAUUUAACUUUGAUUUCCUCUUUUUCCAGGACGGCAUCCUCGGUGGUUCCAAUUUCCAGCCCAUUCCCCAAUUUUCAACCCCAAUGACAGACAACACAUGCUUGAAUGGCUGUUCGGCUAAAGGAGGGAGUUGGUAAGUGAUGAUUUUAAAUGCUGUUUAAGAUAAAAAGGGGAGUUUAGAGCAGAUAAGGGUUCGUAUGAGUUAGUGAGCAGGAAGCUGGGAGAUGUUGCUGCUCUGAAUGUGCCAAUUCAGAAGCUGCUCUCCACCGAUUGUGAUUUAUGUCACUGAGCUUUAGGAAACACUGCUGCAGAUUACAGGCAGGAGAAGUGAACGUUUGACUUCUCUGAAACAGUAAUUAUUCUCAUACUGUACGCAUUUACAAAGAGCUCGUGAUUUUUUAUCCAUAAACAAUAACAAAAUAAAUGUCAAGUAAGUCUUUUGCCUUCAUUUAUCAUUCUGCAUAUUUAUACUCUUACUUUGAAGUCGUCUCACAUGACUUUUUGUACAUAAACUUUUAAUUAACUGUUUAUAUUUGUAUUGUUUUCUUAUAAUAAUAUUGUUUCUUAACAGUAGGAGUUCGGUUGUUUUCUUGUUGAGUGUUUUUGAGUUUUUCUAGGUACUUUUUUCUGAACUGAAAAUCUUAAAAGAAUUGCUUGAAUUUAAAAACUGAUUAAACACCAACUAAAACUCUGAUUCUGAUUAUUAUUUUAAUUAUAAAUAAAGUUUUUUUGUUCUUUAAACUAAACCCGUAAAAUAUAUUUAUUAAAAUCACUGUUUGUAAAUCAAAUGAAUUAAAAAAAUUCCUUGUCUUGAGUGUUUUCUAAAAACUUUUUUACUCGUCCAACAUGUUUAAAUUUUACUUUUCUAUUGGCUUUGUGAAUUAUUUAUUUUGACCUCCUUAUGCAAAAAUCAGAGUAAAUAAACAAGCUUUAGGUAAAAAAGUGUAAAAUAUAAUAAUUUCUUCAGGGCUGUUAAUUAACAUGGAAGUACUUCUGUUUUUAACUUCUAUGUUAAACAUGAUUUUGCGUAUUUAAUCUCAGGUGUCACACAUUUCCAAAGUUUUGUAUUUCUGUAGUUCUUUCUUUAAAGUUUUUCCCUUUACAACAGCUGUGUUUUCCUCUUGUAAACAUAAAUAAAGUUCCUUCUUCCUCUGUUCAAGUUCCCAAAAAUAAAACUUUGAAUCCAGAA
rnacentral:lncRNA from 1 species